rnacentral:rRNA from 1 species
CACUGCUAUUGGAGUUCGAUUAAGCCAUGCGAGUCGAGAGGGUUAGACCCUCGGCGGACGGCUCAGUAACACGUGGGUAAUCUACCCUCAGGACAGGAAUAACCCCGGGAAACUGGGGAUAAUACCUGAUAUGUGGAGAGGUCUGGAAUGAUUCUUCACUUAAAGCUCCGGUGCCUGAGGAUGAGCCUGCGCCUGAUUAGGUUGUUGGCGGUGUAAUGGACCACCAAGCCGAAGAUCAGUACGGGCAGUGAGAGCUGUAGCCCGGAGAUGGGGGCUGAGACACGGCCCCAGGCCCUACGGGGCGCAGCAGGCGCGAAAACUCCGCAAUGUUCGAAAGAACGACGGGGGAACUCCAAGUGCACUUACGCAAGUAAGUGGUUUUUAGUAGUGUAAAUAGCUGUUAGAAUAAGAGCUGGGUAAGACCGGUGCCAGCCGCCGCGGUAACACCGGCAGCUCGAGUGGUGACCGCUUUUAUUGGGCCUAAAGCGUUCGUAGCCGGUCCAGUAAGUCUUUGGGCAAAUCUUCUCGCUCAACGAAAAGAAUUCCGAAGAUACUGCUGGACUUGGGGCCGAGAGAGGUUAGAGGUACUCCUGGGGGUAGGGGUGAAAUCCUAUAAUCCUGGGGGGACCGCCAGUGGCGAAGGCGUCUAACCAGAGCGGACCCGACGGUGAGGGACGAAAGCCAGGGGCGCGAACGGGAUUAGAUACCCCGGUAGUCCUGGCUGUAAACGCUGCAUGCUAGGUGUUGCAUGCUCUACGGGGGCAUGCAGUGCCGAAGAGAAGUUGAUAAGCGUGCCGCCUGGGAAGUAUUAUCGCAAGGUAGAAACUUAAAGGAAUUGGCGGGGGAGCACCACAAGGGGUGGAGUCUGCGGUUUAAUUGGAUUCAACGCCGGAAAUCUCACCGGAGGCGACGGCAGGAUGAUAGCCAGGUUGAAGAUCUUGCUUGACGAGCCGAGAGGAGGUGCAUGGCCGUCGUCAGCUCGUACCGUGAGGCGUCCUGUUAAGUCAGGCAACGAGCGAGACCCGUGCCCUUAUUUGUCAGCAGAUGCCAUCGGCAUGCUGGACACAUUAAGGGGACCGCUACUGAUAAAGUAGAGGAAGGAGCGGGCGACGGUAGGUCAGUAUGCCCCGAAUCUUCCGGGCUACACGCGGACUACAAUGACCAGUACAAAGGGCUUCGACUUCGAAAGGAGAAGGAAAUCCCUAAAACUGGCCCAAGUUCAGAUCGUGGGCUGCAACUUGCCCACGUGAAGCCGGAAUCCCUAGUAAUCGCGUGUCAUUAUCGCGCGGUGAAUAUGUCCCUGCUCCUUGCACACACCGCCCGUCAAACCACCCGAGUGAGGUCGAGGCGAGGCUAUGUCGUCUGGCAUGGUCGAGUCUGGAUUUCGCAAGGGGGGU